rfam:Macaca mulatta chromosome 2, whole genome shotgun sequence.
CCAAAGGCUCUUCUCAGAGCCAUCAUUUUCCCUGGCAGGCAACAG